rnacentral:rRNA from 1 species
GCAAGUCGAACGAUGAAGCCCAGCUUGCUGGGUGGAUUAGUGGCGAACGGGUGAGUAACACGUGAGCAACCUGCCCCUGACUCUGGGAUAAGCGCUGGAAACGGCGUCUAAUACUGGAUACGAACAAGAAUCGCAUGGUUACUUGUUGGAAAGAUUUUUUGGUUGGGGAUGGGCUCGCGGCCUAUCAGCUUGUUGGUGAGGUAAUGGCUCACCAAGGCGUCGACGGGUAGCCGGCCUGAGAGGGUGACCGGCCACACUGGGACUGAGACACGGCCCAGACUCCUACGGGAGGCAGCAGUGGGGAAUAUUGCACAAUGGGCGGAAGCCUGAUGCAGCAACGCCGCGUGAGGGAUGACGGCCUUCGGGUUGUAAACCUCUUUUAGCAGGGAAGAAGCGAGAGUGACGGUACCUGCAGAAAAAGCGCCGGCUAACUACGUGCCAGCAGCCGCGGUAAUACGUAGGGCGCAAGCGUUAUCCGGAAUUAUUGGGCGUAAAGAGCUCGUAGGCGGUUUGUCGCGUCUGCUGUGAAAUCCCGAGGCUCAACCUCGGGCCUGCAGUGGGUACGGGCAGACUAGAGUGCGGUAGGGGAGAUUGGAAUUCCUGGUGUAGCGGUGGAAUGCGCAGAUAUCAGGAGGAACACCGAUGGCGAAGGCAGAUCUCUGGGCCGUAACUGACGCUGAGGAGCGAAAGGGUGGGGAGCAAACAGGCUUAGAUACCCUGGUAGUCCACCCCGUAAACGUUGGGAACUAGUUGUGGGGUCCAUUCCACGGAUUCCGUGACGCAGCUAACGCAUUAAGUUCCCCGCCUGGGGAGUACGGCCGCAAGGCUAAAACUCAAAGGAAUUGACGGGGACCCGCACAAGCGGCGGAGCAUGCGGAUUAAUUCGAUGCAACGCGAAGAACCUUACCAAGGCUUGACAUAUACGAGAACGGGCCAGAAAUGGUCAACUCUUUGGACACUCGUAAACAGGUGGUGCAUGGUUGUCGUCAGCUCGUGUCGUGAGAUGUUGGGUUAAGUCCCGCAACGAGCGCAACCCUCGUUCUAUGUUGCCAGCACGUAAUGGUGGGAACUCAUGGGAUACUGCCGGGGUCAACUCGGAGGAAGGUGGGGAUGACGUCAAAUCAUCAUGCCCCUUAUGUCUUGGGCUUCACGCAUGCUACAAUGGCCGGUACAAUGGGCAGCGAUACCGUGAGGUGGAGCGAAUCCCAAAAAGCCGGUCCCAGUUCGGAUUGAGGUCUGCAACUCGACCUCAUGAAGUCGGAGUCGCUAGUAAUCGCAGAUCAG